AUUGUACUAUAUGUAUUACUAUUUAGGAAAUAUGUAAUUUGCAUUCCCUUAUGAAUAACUGUAAUUGAUAAAGAUAUUUGUAUUAGCAUUGUUCAAAUCAAAAUCUAUAGGUUUUUGUGAUUUCAAGAAUUAUAAACAACAAGCCUUUAUCUACUCAUUUAAACAUUAAUGAAUAUAUCUACUCGCACAUUUCGGAAGUAGCUGUAAUUUUUUCAAAAAAAUAAAUAUUGUGUUUUCUUGAUACAUGUAUCUCACAGUUGAAACGCACUAUAUCAAAACAGACUGUAAAGCAUCUAUAUUAUUCGAAUGGGUUAAGCAUGCUGUUUCACAUGUUAUAUUGCUUUUCAAAACAUAACAGGAGAUAGUUGCACAUUGAUAUACAACUCUCAACACUGUAUUUUGCUUGCAAAAGGUUCAGCAGACCUAAUCGCGGUGGCAAAUCACGUGACUUUGGCAUGACUUGUUACCCGGAAAAAUUAAACACAAGGAAACAUUCAAACGAAUAAGUAACACCUUCAUCAAUAACGAAUUGUCACAUCACUUAUAUCAACAUUUGAAAGAUUUUCUCAGGAACAAAUCUAUACUACAAUGGUAGUUCUAGGUGUGACCGAAGCACAUAACAAUGACAGUUUUUUUGGUAGUCGGAAAGUUUUUGACUGAAAACAACAAAACUGUGUCAAUGUUCUCUGUUAUUUCUACGGUAUGUAGAACAACCAAAUUAGUAUAGAUUUGUUCCUGCAAAAAUCCUUCAAAUGUUGAUAUAAGUUAUGUGAAAAUUCGUGAUUGAUUCCUUACUCGUUUGAAAUUUCCCUUGUGUUGACGUUCGUCGCCAUUUUCCGGGUAAUAGAUCAUGCCAUAGUCACGUGAUUCGCAACUGUUCUAAUUAAGGUAGUUCAUUAUACAUCUUGAAAGACUUUAUCAAAUCAGCAAGACAUGAUAUGAAUGAUAAGUACAUAUGUUAGAAAGGGGGGAAAUGCAGUUUUGGAGAAAAAUACACAAUUCUCAAAACUUUAUUGAAAAUGAAUAGAUACGAGACAUUCGUGGUAAGUAAAUAGAGAAUAUUAAAUGCUAAAAUCCAGUCAUAUCAGUCCGAGUGGCCCCUUGUCAGCCCAAGUGGUCCCAUGUCAGCCCAAGUGGCCCAUAUCAGCCCGAGUGGCCCCUUGUCAGCCCAAGUGGCCCAUAUCAGUCUGAGUGGCCCAUUGUCAGCCCGAGAGCCGAUAUGGGGCCCGAGGGCUGAUAUGCUAUAUGAUUUGGAUUUUAGCAUGUAAUAUUCUAUUUAUCAUAUACUGAUUUUUUUUAAUGCUUAGAUAUUGUGUACGAACGGUAUACUGUUUAUGAUGUGUGCAUGUUUUUUAAUUUGAUACGGAGUCCGGGAACUAAUCUUCUAAAAUUACAUUUUUUUUUAUCACAUGCUGUUUACGUUUUUACAUUUUUAUGACAAUUAAAAACCUCUCAAGCAUUGAUUUACCACAGUAAACACUUUGAUUUCUCAUGAUAAAAACUUUGAUACAUCGAUUGUUACGAGCGAAUACGUAUUUUCCGGCUUGAUAUGCAUCUUUGCACGCCAGUUUGAUAUGCGAUAUGGAUUUUCCGACCGGUCUUGGACCAAUUUCAGUUAUUGUGACGUCAUCCACAUCGCGCGGUGCAGAAUCGGCAUAAUCAUUACCAAGUAUAUGAUAAAUAGAGAAUAACGCAUACCCAUUUCCAUAUCACACCCUGUAUCAGCCCGAGACACCAAUAUCAGCCAGAGGACCGAAGGCCCGGGGGCUGAUAUUGGUCGAGGGCUGAUACAGGAUGUGGUAUGGAAAUGGGUAUGUUUUAUUGUGUUUAUUACAUACUUAGUAAUAACAUACAAAACAUGUCGACUUGAACAAAUAAAACGUAAUGAACAUUGACAAGAACUCAUAUCUCUCAUAUCUUUGUUAUAAUAUCUAUGUUCAGAUUUUUGUCUGAAAAAUAACGAUUUACACUCCCUUGAAUUUACUUCAGUGUAUCAGGUUCAUAUUCCUCCCCAAUUGCAUGAUUUCUUUACAUUCAUAACAUAUCUCGCAAGAUGCAUAUCUAAUUCCGAGACCGGGAUUUCCUUUGGUUUUCUCCAUUUGUUACUCUUCCUUAGGUAAGUAGUACAUUUCCUUAAAUCCGAAUCAGUUUUCCUACUUGUGUUUGCAUUUUUAGUUCCUUAUCAAAGUCAAAGUACAUUUAUCCCCAGUAUCUUUAAGGUCAUUCUGUGUGUCGGUCCCUGUGUCAGUAGGCGCUGGCACAAUUUUAAGGACGUGGGUCUGUGGGUUGCACCGAUUCUAAAUCCAUCGUGAUACAGUAAGAAUUUUCACCAACAUCAGCGGUAUUUAAUCCACACAUAUAUUAUAUAGAGUUCGAUUAAUCUGUUUACCAACGAAUCAAAAGUCUUUUCUCUUCCUUCAUGUUCGUUCAUAUUCAUGUUGUUUAUAUUCGUCUGCAAAAUAUUGAAGCGGGAAAAACCCAGAGGAGUUCCGGAUAGAGGGGUUCCGCAAGGGGGUCUGAUACGGAUCUGUAGGGCUGAUACCAAUAUCAGCCCCGGGGGCUGAUACGGCUUUUGUAAAGUAGGCUGUAUUGCAUAUGCAAAAAACCUGUAUUUAUUACUAAGUAUGUAAUAAAUAAGAAAAAUAAUUAGGGAUGUCAACGAGUACUUAACUGCCGCUCGGUCAUACCGAUCAUCGACUAAAUUUUUCAUAGUCGAGUACUCGUAAAAAAUAGCUUUUUUAACGCAAUGUUCUCAUCAAUUCUAAACGCUUCAGUGUUUUUGUAAGUAAAAAUCAUGUCAAUGCUAGAGAAAAUUAACUUUUUUAACUUUGAAAUACAGAUUAAAGUUUACUCAUCAGGCAAAAAAUCUCCAAUAACUUUAACACCAUGUUGACACCAAUUCUCCUUCAAAAUAAUACAUUAAUCAUCAAUAUUUAUGUUGAACAUUAAACCAUGAUUCUGCACGCUGACAGGAUGUGUUCCCGAUAUCUACAAGAACUCAUUGGCAUGUAUUCCCCAGUUCGACCACUAAGAUCUGAAACAUCACUGAGACGGUGCCAAAAAUUCCCACAAAGUCUUUUGGAGAACGCACGUUUAGCAGGGCUGCAGCCAGUUUGUGGAAUAACCUUCCGCAAUAUAUUAAAGCUGCAAAAAACAUUAACGUUUAAAAAAAAACCCUGUUAAAAACCCACUUUUUAAAAAUUGCUUUCCCAGAUUUUUAAGCCUCUUACAUAGUAGAAGUUUUUGUCAAUGACCGUUUUUAAUGGAAAUUUCUAAAUCUUAAUUAAUGUUUUAUUUCGUUGAUUUCUAAUACUUUGCAAAGUGUUCGACAUAUUUUUUUUUUGCCCUUGUAAAGCGCCUUAGAGUAAUUUGUUUUAUAUAAGGCGCUAUAUAAAUUUUAUUAUUAUUAUGAUUGAUAAAGAUCUUAACUCAAGAUUCAUACACCUUAUAAGUGUUAUAGGUAAUUUAAGCUGUAGAUAUAUCGAUUAUCGAUACACUAGAAAUUACAUGAGAGAGAGAGAGAGAGAGAGAGAGAGAGAGAGAGAGAGAGAGAGAGAGAGAGAGAGCUAUAAAUUCCAAACAUUGAUGCCUGACGUUUUUCUACGUACGUGUAUUUCUUUUCUUUUUUGUGUGUGUAUCUUAUUCCAUCUGUGCAGUUUCUUUGUUCUGGUAAUUAUUCAAAUAUAUUCAGUUUUAUUUUAGUUUUUCAUUUCAUGUUGUAAAUCUGCUUGAUAAUUAAUGCUUUUGUGUGAACAUAUUUUAAAUUUAGUGUAACUGAAUUCAUAAAGGGAUUGAGCACAAGUUUUUAAAACUUACAACGCUCUCUCCCACAUUCAUGUUCAUGUGUUAUAAUGUAUUUCAAUGUGCAUGGUAAAACAGUCAUUGUAAAUAUUAAUCUAGCGCAUCUUGAUUGCUCAUAGAAAAAUAAAGUAAUAUUUACAACAUAUAUUGAUUAAUAACAACGAUCACUCUGUUUCAUAAAAUAUUGUAUGAUAGUAAACAAAAUUUUUCGUUUUCUUUAUUACUAAGGAAAUUUGUCACCCCAAAGAAGAACAUGUGCAUUGACAAUAUGCAAGUUGCUAAUUCCAAUUAUACCAUUAAAAAGAAUAUUUCUGGCUUUUUUAUACCUAGGACAUGUAAAAAGGUAAUGAUAUUCAUCGCCAAUGUUUCCGCAGGUACAACAAGGACUGUUAAUGAUGUUAAAACAGAAUUAAUCAUUGUUUAAUAUACACUUGUGCCUAAGCUUGUAUGAAUAAUGUUUAAACGACGGUUGCCACAUGCGACAUAAAGAGGAGUGAAUCUUUGUUCCCAGAUAUUUUCAUAAAGAUCCCAAAAGAUCCACUUCGUUUGAUUCCAACAGGCAACAACAAUUAUGUAAAUAAUUGCAUUUAUGUGUUGAAUGCUGUUUUUUGUAUGUAAAUGUUAGUAAGUUAAUACUAAUCCGCUGCAGGUCAGUGUUUAACUGCUGCUAUAGAUUUAGGAUGCACGUGAGUGUUUAACUGCUGCUAUAGAUUUAGGUUGCACGUGAGUGUUUAACUGCUGCUAUAGAUUUAGGAUGCAGGUCAGUGUUUAACUGCUGCUUAAAUUACAUUUAAGAUUGGUACAGGUAGUUAAAAAGGGUGUCUCUCUUGCUCUCAGUAUAUGCUUGUUUAUAGUAUGUAUAUAUUUGUAACAAAUUGUGCAAUACAGGUCAGUGUUUUAACUGCUUUAUUGUUUUCAUAGUUUAGUUGGUUUUUUGUUUAUUUCUGUAGUCUUUUGAUUUUUGUUAAGACAAGCUAGAUACAUUUUACUUGUCAAGUCAUUCUGGUUAAAAAAUUAAAUAUAAUGACUGCCUGCUGGUUCCAUCUACCUGAUAAUUUUUAUAUGUAUAUCAUAGUCAUAAUAUUUACAGUGUACAGUUAUGAACGCAAAGAAGAUUGCCAGGUCAGUGUUUAACUGCUGGUACAGUUAAAUAUGGUGAACAGUUAUUCAGUUUAUUUUCUUUAUUACAUAUUACAUAAACCAGAGAAGUAUUGAAUAUUCUGUGCACAACCUCACCUUGGAUGGCACAAUGUGAGUGCCAAAUUCUGUUUGACCGCUCACAUUUGGUGGCCUUUGUAUUUUUGAUGUGCCAUCCUUUUGCUGUAGACCUAAUCAAUUUUAUAAUUUUUGCAUAUAUUGUUCUUCCGUUAAUUUAGGGGAUCAGCAGAUUGAUAUGUCAUUAUGUAUUGUGUGAAGAGUUUUUGGUCUGAUCCCCUUAUUAUAUUAUGUAUAUAUUUUUCCUUAUUUGCGUCAUUUGAAUAAAUGACAUAUUUCAUCUCUACAUUGGUGUUGAUGUUAUUGAUCUAAACUCAGCAUAAACAGAGCUGCGGUGAGUUUGUGCAGCAUGAGGAAACAUAAAACAACAAUUAUGUAAAUAAUUGCAUUUAUGUGUUGAAUGCUGUUUUUUGUAUGUAAAUGUUAGUAAGUUAAUAUACUUUUCGAAUUGUUUGUAACUCUGUGGCUUUGAUUUUUCUUUAUAUGUAAUGUUACUGGUCUUCUCCCAGGCCUUGCAGGUGUCAGGUGCCAUAUUAUGUAAUUUUUCCCAGUUCUGCAGUUGCGGCAGACUUGUUACGCAAUUCCGAAAUUUUCCAUGGCCAAAUCUUACCCCCUUGUCUGAUAACAACCAAUCAAAAUUUAUUAUCGUUGUCACGUGUUUUGAUGCUGUCGGUACAUGUAACUGACCAGUCAGUCUUGGGUCAUUCUCGCUUCAUCGAAGCUAUUGAUAGCAUCAAAAAAUUUGGCACACCCACCACCACCCCAUCUUUUCCUACCUUACUUGCAUUGAUAUGUUUUAAGAUAUGUUACGGCCUUUGUAUUUUUGAUAUGCCAUCUUUUUGCUGUAGACCUAAUCAAUUUUAUAAUUUUUGCAUAUAUUGUUCUUCCGUAAAUUUAGGGGAUCAGCAGAUUGAUAUGUCAUUAUGUAUUGUGUGAAUAGUUUUUGGUCUGAUCCCCUUAUUAUAUUAUGUAUAUAUUUUUCCUUAUUUGCGUCAUUUGAAUAAAUGACAUAUUUCAUCUCCACAUUGGUGUUGAUGUCAUUGAUCUAAACUCAGCAUAAACGGAGCUGUGGUGAUUUUGUGCAGCAUGGGGAAACAUAAAAGGGAAUUUACUCCUUUAUUACAGUUGAAAGAAGCGACUUGUAUGAGGCAGCAAAUUGGAACACAGUCAAGGCCAAAGGGAAAUAUCAUACACGAGGAUGGGGAAAUUGUACAGGACAAACAAGAAGCGGAAAAACAUUCAAAUUUCCUACCAGACCAAACGGAAAUGUCAUAUAUUGUGCAAAUGGGAUAAAAAUAGAAGCUGAAUCCCCUCCCCCCUACACAAACAUACACACACCGAGACCAAACGGAAAUGGCAUAUACAAGGAUGCGGACAUUGUGCCGAUUGUACAAAAUAAAAGAUGUAACAUA